UACGGGGGGGGUAAGCGUUGUUCGGAAUUACUGGGCGUAAAGGGCUCGUAGGCGGCCAACUAAGUCAUACGUGAAAUCCCUCAGCUUAACUGGGGAACUGCGUGUGAUACUGGAUGGCUUGGAUUUGGGAGAGGGAUGCGGAAUUCCUGGUGUAGCGGUGAAAUGCGCAGAUAUCAGGAGGAACACCGGUGGCGAAGGCGGUUCUCUGGGCAUGUCCUGACGCUGAGGAGCGAAAGUGUGGGGAGCGAACAGG
rnacentral:rRNA from 1 species